UAACUAUUGGUAGUAUUAUGUUUCCGUUCUAAGAAACAGCCAUAGGGUAUGCCCCAACAUAAUUUUGCUUAAAGCAAACUUAUGUUGGGGCUUAGCACACUAAUGAUGACGAAGUAAAAAAAAAAGUGAUCUUACCCCAGUAAGUGAUCUUUUACUACUUAAUAACAGUUACCUAGUUACCUACAUCAAAUUAUAUAGCUAGGCACCAAAAACAUCUCUGCUUACAGCUAAACGAGUUACUCAUCAUUUUGUUGUUCUCAGAAUCCGUUUUACUACUGGAAAUCAAUAAAAAAAAGAGCUUGGUGAGCUUUAAGACAGGCAUGUUUAGAAAUUCAUUUAAGGACAGGCAUUUUGGCAUUUUUUAGACAUAUUUAAUCGCACAAUCAGUUUAUGACACCUUAUUAACUGAUAACUAUUUUUAACUGGUUAAUAGACCUUUUUGAAUGUUUACAUUUUUCUGUGGGUAAGCCAUUUUGGCUCUAACAACCGCAUGGCAGGUAAAAAGAUGUGGAAGCUUGCUUAAGAAAUGUCCUAUCAGACCAUUUCUUUUUACGGAAACAUUGUUGAGGCUUUAAACUAUUAUUGUAGAUUGCUCUACAUUCUACUUAAUAUACCUAUAUAUUCAUUUAAAGUCUUAACAAUACCUUUGUCCAAAGGAAUAGACUGAACAAGACUUCCUUUCACCUAGCAUGUACAUCUUUUUGCCUACCAGAAGGGCUUACUGUGCUUACUGUGAAAAAUGUAAACAUUAAAAAAAAUCUCUCUCUCUAUAUAUAUAUACAAGUGCUUAUUGGCUAAAAAGCCUUAACGACAGGCUUUACAUAUAUAUACUGCACCAUAUAACUUUUAAUUUUGUAGCAGCAAUAAUGAUAGCUAUAUGUAAACAAGUAACACUGCCGGGAAAUCAAAAAACAAAACAAUAAAAAAAGAUAAACCGCAGUGUGUUUUUUUAUCUAUAUUUUACGAUAUUUUGGGAGUUGUCGUAUUGUAUGAACUAAAAAGAGCAAUGCAUGUCAUUAUCAUAUGGAGUAGAUACAAAUGACUAAAGGAGUUAUUUUUAAAUCAAUAUGAAAAAUACCUGUUACUGUGUAAGAAAAUACUGUACUUGAAAAAUUUGUAUUUUCAUAACCUUGUUAUAGUUUUAUUAUAUUCCAUAUAUUAAAAUUU